GGAUUGCCCUAGUAACGGCGAGUGAAGCGGCAACAGCUCAAAUUUGAAAUCUGGCUCUCGGGCCCGAGUUGUAAUUUGUAGAGGAUGCUUUUGAUGCGGUGCCUUCCGAGUUCCCUGGAACGGGACGCCAUAGAGGGUGAGAGCCCCGUCUGGUUGGAUACCAAAUCUCUGUAAAGCUCCUUCGACGAGUCGAGUAGUUUGGGAAUGCUGCUCUAAAUGGGAGGUAUAUGUCUUCUAAAGCUAAAUACUGGCCAGAGACCGAUAGCGCACAAGUAGAGUGAUCGAAAGAUGAAAAGCACUUUGAAAAGAGAGUUAAAAAGUACGUGAAAUUGUUGAAAGGGAAGCGUUUAUGACCAGACUUGGGCUUGGAUAAUCAUCUGGGGUUCUCCCCAGUGCACUUUUCCAGUCCAGGCCAGCAUCAGUUUUCGCCGGGGGAUAAAGGCUUCGGGAAUGUGGCUCCCUCCGGGGAGUGUUAUAGCCCGUUGCGUAAUACCCUGGCGGGGACUGAGGUUCGCGCAUCUGCAAGGAUGCUGGCGUAAUGGUCAUCAACGACCCGUCUUGAAACACGGACCAAGGAGUCGUCUUCGUAUGCGAGUGUUCGGGUGUCAAACCCCUACGCGUAAUGAAAGUGAACGCAGGUGAGAGCUUCGGCGCAUCAUCGACCGAUCCUGAUGUUCUCGGAUGGAUUUGAGUAAGAGCAUACGGGGCCGGACCCGAAAGAAGGUGAACUAUGCCUGUGUAGGGUGAAGCCAGAGGAAACUCUGGUGGAGGCUCGCAGCGGUUCUGACGUGCAAAUCGAUCGUCAAACAUGGGCAUGGGGGCGAAAGACUAAUCGA
rnacentral:rRNA from 1 species